rnacentral:lncRNA from 12 species
CCCAAGGAAACUCUUCCUUGGCUCGCGCUGGAAAGGCUGCUGGGAGAGUCGGGGGAAAAAAAGGCUGAAAGCAGAGACAAAACCUCCUCCUCCAGCCACAGAGCAGGACUUCAGUCUAUUUAUGGCAUUUCUGCAUUAUAGCCUUCUGAACUAGGAGUGCUGCAGAGAUCAGCAUUGUACACUAAUUAAAUGCCACUCACCCAGCUUUCUGACGCUGAAUCCUGGUAUAGCUUUGGGCAAAUCACACAGUCCCUGGGUAAA